GAUGCUGGGAGAUUAAACUAUAAGCUGUUACAAGGCUGCCCUGGACAGAAGGAGCCUCAUGCCUCUUGGGUGAGAAACUAUUUCACCUGUUACUGAUGUCGGUGAAGACAAGGCUUUCCUAAUUAAAGGCUUCCAGAUGUUUCUCAUUGUGAGGUGUGAUGGAGCUGGGAAGUGAUGCACCUGGUAGUGCUGCCAGCAAAAGUAAGUUGCUAACAUGAGUGUGACUGGUCAGAGCUGUGUGAUACAGGAAACAAAGAAGUUACUAGAUCCUGGCCUGUAUAUCAUAGCUGCAGCAUUAAGCAGGGCUUUUGGUGAUUUUACUACCUUUUCCAAGUAAAAAGCUCACAGAUUUGCCAGCAGCCUCAGGAUUCACUCACUUUAGGUGCUGCAUAUCUCAAAAUUAACUGCUUUCUGUGACUAAAAAGAGAUAGUAAUGGCCGUUUAAAAUACAUAACUGCUAUGGACUACUUGAGUAGGAACUUGAUAUGAAAAGCUUGUUGCUACCAGGUUGCCACACAUUUUGGGCUGAGCAAAUGCAGUAUAAUUACCUACUAUCCAACUUCUUGCUAUUUAUAUUUAGUCAACUCUUUCAGGCAGUAGCAGUCAUCUAGAAUGCUUAUGUGGUAAAGGCUAGAUCAGAGCUUUUAUGGUGAUGUGAAUGAAGAUGUGGUUGGGAGUAAGGUCAGAUGCCCCUUUAAAGGACAAACGAGAUACAACAUGAAGCUGCUCUUGGCAUGUACUGUUCGUGAUGAAUUCUAAACAAUGGGAAUCUCUCUGAAAGAGGCUGAGGAGAGCUCUCUUUUGCUGAAACAGUACCCACAUUCACACUAUCAAACCACUGCCGAAAGUGUGUUAGUACAAUUUCACUUCUUUACAGGGUGAAGCUUUUGUGGAGUUUAAAAAAAAAGAUGGAUGUGUCUGAGGUAAGUGUAGAAUACAUGGGGUUUAUAAAUUCCUGGUGUAUUGUCCUUUUGCUGAAUGCUUAAAUAUUGAUGCCUAAAAUUAGUCCUAUAAAAUACCUGAUUUGUCUUCCCUUUACUGUAUAUGGCUAUUCUGUUGGUACUACUGUAACACUCUGGAAUUAAAAUUAAAAAAACCUUGUGUUGUGGCUGUCACUUUUCAGCAGUUGUUACUACUAAUCUUUAUAUUGGGUCUGCAGAAAUUUAGCUGAAGUUCUAGAUGAUUGCUGUAGAAACUUGUUUUCAAACAAACUGGAACACUCCAAACACUUUCAAAGAUAGAAGCCAUCUUGAAAACCUAUGGGACUUGUAUUUUAGGUAUUUAAAAAUCAUGAAAUACAACACUGUUGGGAGAGACAGUAUCACAAAGCAAAGUAGUAGCUUUUUACUUUUCCCUGAUUCUUCCAAUGUUAGUAAUUCUGUAUUUCCAGUUAAGUUAGGAUUUGUAAGCUUUGUGUAUCCUAUUUAGGUAUUGUAAGUUGAACUUGUAAGAUGCCAGCUAAAAGUCAGUUUCCUUUUAGAUAAAAGUUUGGUGAACAGAAAUUCACAGAUAAACCUUGCAUAUAGUGCUGCUGUCUGUUAUUCUGAAAGUACUUCUCUCUUUCUCAGGAAGGGACUGUGCUGUCUGCAGCUCACUGGGUGAAGAGGCAACUCUGAAACCAGCAUAUGAAGAACUGAGAAGGUGGAAGAUUGCUGAUGAAUGGGUUACAUGCAUGAACAGCAUUAAAAAAGCUGAUGUGUUUUUACUUCACUGGUAAUGUUUGCCUGAUGCUGAUUGGAGACAAUAAAAAUCUGCAAACUCU